AUUGAACGCUGGCGGCAGGCCUAACACAUGCAAGUCGAACGAGUGGCGGACGGGUGAGUAAUGUCUGGGAAACUGCCCGAUGGAGGGGGAUAACUACUGGAAACGGUAGCUAAUACCGCAUACCAUCGGAUGUGCCCAGAUGGGAUUAGCUUGUAGGUGAGGUACCGGCUCACCUAGGCGACGAUCCCUAGCUGGUCUGAGAGGUUGACCAGGCACACGGGAACUGAGACACGGUCCGGACUCCUACGGGAGGCAGCAGGGGGGAAUAUUGCACAAUGGGCGGAAUCCUGAGGCAGCCAUGCCGCGUGUAGGAAGAAGGCUUUCGGGUUGUAAAGUACUUUCAGCGGGGAGGCGUUACCCGCAGAAGAAGCACCGGCUAACGCCGUGCCAGCAGCCGCGGUAAUAC
rnacentral:rRNA from 1 species